CCUACGGGUGGCAGCAGUGGGGAAUAUUGGACAAUGGGGGGAACCCUGAUCCAGCCAUGCCGCGUGUGUGAAGAAGGCCCUCGGGUUGUAAAGCACUUUCAGUGAGGAAGAACGCCUGGUGGUUAAUACCCAUCAGGAAAGACAUCACUCACAGAAGAAGCACCGGCUAACUCCGUGCCAGCAGCCGCGGUAAUACGGAGGGUGCGAGCGUUAAUCGGAAUUACUGGGCGUAAAGCGCGCAUAGGUGGCUUGAUAAGCCGGUUGUGAAAGCCCCGGGCUCAACCUGGGAACGGCAUCCGGAACUGUCAAGCUAGAGUGCAGGAGAGGAAGGUAGAAUUCCCGGUGUAGCGGUGAAAUGCGUAGAGAUCGGGAGGAAUACCAGUGGCGAAGGCGGCCUUCUGGACUGACACUGACACUGAGGUGCGAAAGCGUGGGUAGCAAACAGGAUUAGAUACCCUAGUAGUC
rnacentral:rRNA from 1 species